rnacentral:rRNA from 1 species
AGCAGUCGCCGCGGUAAUACGAAGGGGGCUAGCGUUGCUCGGAAUGACUGGGCGUAAAGGGCGCGUAGGCGGAUCACGCAGUCAGAUGUGAAAUUCCUGGGCUUAACCUGGGGGCUGCAUUUGAGACGCGUGGUCUAGAGUGUGAAAGAGGGUCGUGGAAUUCCCAGUGUAGAGGUGAAAUUCGUAGAUAUUGGGAAGAACACCGGUGGCGAAGGCGGCGACCUGGUUCAUGACUGACGCUGAGGCGCGAAAGCGUGGGGAGCAAACAGGAUUAGAUACCCCAGUAGUCCCUGUCUCUUAUAC